AGCCAGACUACCUUCGUACACAAUUACUCAAUCCACCGUAAGGCUCUUUAAUAAGAAACAAGUGUGACAACGGCAAGGCUCUUUUCCCCCUUUCUCUCUCUUUCUCUCCUCCUCCUCCUCCCUCCCUCUUAAACCACAGAGUCAAAUAGCUCUAAUAGAGAUGAAGCUUGAUAGAUCCGCCCAGGUGUAGGUGAAAUGGUAGAGCCUCAGGGGUAAUAGAUGCUGUGCUUGCUUGCUGGAGUUUAGUGUUCUGUCCUGACCGGCUCUCCAGAGCUACGCUGACACCGGCUGCUCCUUGUACAGUUACAAAGUCAACAUGCUUCUUGCUGCUCACGUCUGUGCCUAACCCAGAGGGCAACCUGGAGCUAGGUAGGAGCCACAGAUCAGCCCUCGGACUCCAGCUCAAGGACAAAGGACCACAGAUGCAGUAAGUGGAAAUUUUACCUUUCCUUCUUUUACUUGGGAAUUAAUUAAGGCUGUUUACUCUCAGGGAAUCCUCUAAAGACUGAGCAAAAGUGAACCAGCCAAAGAAGCCUGUGUUCUUAGCCCUGUGGGUUUCCCCAGGAGUCGUUUCACUCAGUGUCCCAGCUCAUUUUGCACAGUGUCCCGGAACUGUCACUGAAGCUUAAAUACUCCACAAGUGACUCCUGAUUCGGAAGGUCUGCUGGACUGAAAUGUGGUGCUAAUAACAAUGCUAAUUCGAUCCUGUAGCCUGGCUAUUAACUGCUAUUUCUGGGUGAAAUAUCCUUUAUUACUGUUAGAAACGCUGGUGACAAGGGUACUGUCACAGUGCUCAGACACCGAAGAAACUACCCUACUUGAAAACGGAUUUCAACUUUCAUGCCUGACUAUAGUAUUCCAUCCUCCUUGAGACAUCAAUAUAAGGAAUUUUCCUGUAAGUUUUGCAUAACAUAUUCUUCCCUGAGCCCUGACUCUUCCUAAAAAAGUUAUCUUAAAAACUAAAAGUGGCCCUAGAUUGUAGUUUCAAUGGCAAUGAUAAUGCAAUGUUAAAAGAAACAAACGAAAACCAAAGGUCAUUUGUCUAAUAGCCUAGGAAGAGAUAUUGAAAACAGAUGUAGGAAAUCUCAACUGUGACUUUUUGCUCUCUCAUGCUUGGUUUAAAGCAGCCUGCACAUUGCGUUUACUUUGCAUUUACAACUUUGGAUUCACCACUAAACUAUGUUUGAACUUCAAGUUCAGAUGCGACCUAAGUCAAGCCAUGUUCCCCGAGCCCUGCUCUGAAUUUUACUCGGCUACAGGGAAUCUUUUUACUACUACACUAUAUAUCUCGAUUGUGUUAACAAGCUGACUGUGGUGGACUUUCAGGUGAAAUGUCAGUCAGUGUAAAAGAAUGUGUUUGCCGUUCAAAUGUGUGACACUGUGUGUUGGAAAUAUGCAUACAACAUAUCCCCUGAUGAAGAUUCAAGUUAUAAGAUUAAUCCUUCGAAUAUUGCCAAACAUGAUCAAACUGUAAAAGAAUGCAAUAAAGACUGUCAGUACUUCACUUCUAUUUGUAGUUUCUUUAAAGAACUUUUAAAUGUAGAUUUUAUGUAUUGAUGAUGCAGUCUGGAAACCAUUGUCAUCUCAUAAUAUGAUGUGCACGGAUACAGUAUAUAAGAAAACACAGACAAAAUACGCUUGUAUUUUCUAAAAUAAUUCCCACUGGCCAAUGUUUUGCUUUUGUUUUUUUGACUAUUAUAGAUGGACCUCAUUGUAAACGAUGAUUUAAAAACCAUGACGGUAGAGCCUUGAUGACUCCUUUGUGUAUUUUCAGAAAUGAUUUAGCCAGGAUAAAGUUGCUGCUAUGAGAGGUUUAAUUAAUUACUUUUAGUUAAAUAUAUUUCUUUAAGGAUUGGAUUUGACAUUACUGAUGGCGGAGUAAAUGCAGUUUAAAAGUCAUUCUUCAUGGAAUGCUUUAACCAACAAUUGUUGGCAUUGAAUAGCGGUCAAUGUCUACCCCCUACAGGGAGAGAUUCUAAUUUCACUAUGCCUUCCUCAGAAUAUGAAUGCUAGAGCGUACAGUUCACACAUAUGAAUGCUGUAACAGUGUCAAUGAUUCUGACAAGUGCCCCUUAAUGAAAAGGUCAGCCCCAUGAUUAAUAGGAAGCCAAUUUCAAAGGCUGGAUCUCACUUCAGCACUGCAUUUAGGUUCCUGAUUUGAGAUCCUGUCCUGAUACUUCCCUCCGGGAUAGGCUGUACAUGAAUGGAUAAGGAAAACCUAUCUGUUCCAAGAUGUUUCUGAUGGUUAUCUUAACACAGCAAUAGAAAACAAACCAGGACACUAAGUAACAGAACAGCCUCAGUGAAUGAAAUAAGCACCCAGAAGAGUUCUGACAUUCACUUAGAGCGGGUGUGCUUCAUUGUCAAUGCUUCUUCAGUACAGGAAUUCCUCUGGACCCAUCCUCCACCCCAGGAUACUUUCCCUCUGGAAUGGUUCAUGAAGUUGUGGAGAGUGAGAAAAUUGAGAGACCCACGAAGCUCUGUGGCUGGACAUGAAGCUGUUUCAUGUGUGAAGCUAUUGUUCUCAGUGGCUUCUGCAGAGAUGAACAUUCGUCUUGCUUUAGGAAAAUCCAUCCAUAUAAUUAAUCAAGUGUCCAAUUGUGGGCCAGGGAGAGUUUGCCUUGGAUUACUGCUGGGUACCCAAAUCUUUUCACUAAACCAAACCUUGAAGCUUUGCCUAGACUCAGAAUGUUUACACUGACUUCAAAGUUACCACACUAAUUGAGCUGUUCUUGGGCUCCUUGAAUUGUUUUGUCCUGACUUUCAAUUCAUCAAGAGCUUGUUGUUUGAAAAGGGGCAUUGUGCAUUCCUCCUGAGUGUCUUGUUUAUUAGUGUUAUUGUUCGGGUGCAAUAGAAGGAGCUCAGAACGAUAUAUAUUCCAAUAUCCGCAAUGAUUCAUGCUCAUUUUGUUUAGAAUUGUACACAUUUUUAAAAGAAUGAAUUAUAGCUCUUUGGAAAGCUUUUAUUCUAAGGUUUAUUUAAAUAUCCUGUCUCACUCCGUGAAAUCUAGCCUGAGAUUGUCUUUUCAGGUUCUGGAUUUUAUAACAGGUCAUACCAAUGUGAUUUAUUUCAGAGAUUCCUGUUCCUGAUAUAGUUCAUACCUACUUCUAAUCCCAAUAAAAUGCUAAUCUUUCUGA
ensembl:lncRNA